CACGCGAAUAUCGUCAUCUCAAGCCUAUUUUCAUUGCAAGUUAUAGUUUUUGGGUUUAUUUUUGCUUAAGUUAGAUUAUCUCUCAAAUGUCUUAUUUUUGCUUGCAAUUUAAGAAGUUCUGUUUGAUUGUCUUUUUUUAUUUUUUGUGUGAUUGUUUUUGCCACAAAUCUGAUUCCAUCCACACCCACCCACACAGUCGCUGGCAGCCAACGGCUCCUCGGAAAGAGGGAGAUGGUGUUUGUUUGCAGCAUUUUUUUUUAUUGCUUUCCUUUAAACAGUAAAUAUUGUAUGCCUUUUGUAUGCUACAGUUACGCAAAAUUAGAUUCUUUUGUUAGCGUUUCCCAACCGUGCUCAGCCCAUUGCUCGCCAAAAUGCCUCAUUUCUGUGUCGUGAUUUCCUUCUGCGUCAUUGGUGCGCCACCAAUGGGGCCAGCGAGGGAAAUUAAGACGAUGGAAACAAAAUAUAAAAAAUACAAUAUAGAAAGUGCAAGAUGUGUGGUGCUUAUAAUAUUUUUUUUUUGCUUUUAUUAUUGCAGCUUUGGGAAUAUGGACGUCCUUUGACGUUGAGUUGCUCCUGCCUGGUGAUUGGCUGUUGUGACGUCGGCAAAGAUGAAAGUCAAAGGACUAAGGAGCAUUUCAGAUGAAAGAGCAAAGGGACAUUUAAGCUUGAACUGGGCUCAAGUCAGGCAGUCUGUGUGUGGAGUGCCUGGCGUGAGUAGUAGUCGACAGCAGCUCUUGAAUGAAUGUGCAUUCUGUUUCCGCUCAUGGAAAGUGUUGUGAAAAUGUGUGCAAGAAGGACAGCAGAGUACGAGGAGGAACUUUGGGGACCAAAAGAGGAAAACAAGCCACAACAUCAACAACUCUAUGCUCUUUUCAUUCUGCAGUCUCUCAUUGUGCUUUGUGGAGCAGACAUCAGUGAAGAUCUUCAUCCUGAGGGGCAGGAGCCAGAUCCCCCUCACAUUAAAGAGGAAGUGGACGACGAAGAGGUCCACCACAUCAAAGAAGAAGAGGAGGAGGAUAUCACCAAGUUUCCAUCGACUGGUGUCCCUUUGAAGAGUGAAGAUGAAGGUCAAAGUGAGGAGAGGAGAGGGGCGGAACCUCCAAGCAGCACCUCAAGUCAACACAUGGUGAUGGAGACCACUGGGAAGGAUCACAAGCAGACGGCCUCUUAGCUCCACUAUCAGAUAGUGACGACAUGACGUCACACCCUCCUCACACUGAUGAUGAUCAUGGACAGUGUGAAGACAAGGCCUUCAAUCCUGUUCCUCUACCUGCACCUGACCAUGACACCAAGACACGGACCUGCUCUCAACCCCAGGAGUCGUGGAUGAAGACAGAGCCGCAGGAUCUGGGGCCGUGGCCGGGAUGUCGCCCGGUGCGCAGAGCGAGCGAAGCCGGCGCUGACCGAGGGCUGACCGAGGGCUGACCGAGGGCUGACCGAGGGCAGUGUUUUAUUUAAAAAAAACUUUUCACUCAUCUUUUUUAAUCAUUUACUUCGCAAUGAAGCCGAGAUAGAAUAAAGGCUUUUAAUUACAAUGAAGUCUAGAAUAAAUGCUAAAAAAAAAAUGUUGGAAAAGGUUUAUGCAUAUUUGCUACAAAAUCCUACAACAAUAGAAUGGCAAUUAUAAUUGAAAUGACUCAUUCUCAAAAAGAAUAUUUGGAUUAAUAUUCUCUUGACACAGUUUUUUGAUUGAUAAUAAAUAAUGAUAUUAUAAAAUAUCAGAUAUAACGAAAUAAACCUUUUUUGUCAUUUCAUGCUUCCAAUUCCUCAUAAAAUGGAAGUUUGAAUGCUCAAUAAUCAACAUUUGAACAAUUUAGUCACAAUUUAUAAGUAACAUUUAUACACGCUUCGUUCAGGAAUCGAAUAUCAACCUCCCACAUGGCAAUUCCUUUCACAAGAUAAAGGUUUUUCACAAGGGUUCAGAUAUUGGCAAUACGGCAGUUAUAGGUUGUGUCAUGUGACAAGCAUAUUCUGUGACGUUAAAUGAGUCUGUUUUUAUUUCAGCUUGAUUAAAUGAUUCCACGUUUGUCAUCAUGUUUCACAUUAAGUCCACUAGCACAAAUUAAGAAGCAAAGUUGUCAGGGUGAAAUUCAGAAUUAAAAAGUGCAGUGCUUUUUUCCACCCAGUUUCAAACCACAGACCGUUCAUGUUAGACGAACGUGAUAACCACUACACUAUGGAAACUACUCUGUCCAUUGAGCCUUAUAAUGGGAAUUGCGAACCACAUGAAAGCUCGACGCUGUUUUCCAAUGUGACCCUGUCUCCAACCGGGACUAAAGAAUCCAAAUUUACAAACUUGUGAGUUUUUGUAAUUGUCAGCAGGUUGAUUUGUUUUGCUUUGUGUUGGGAGCAAAAAUUUGACUUAGAAUACAGUAGAAUUAAUUUGAUAUGUGUCACAAAAACAUUGGACAAACUUCAAGCAUAACUGAGUUUUAUGAGAAGUUAGAUAAAAUACAGGGAUUUAGAUAGGGUAAUACAAAUUAACUACUCCAUUUUUUAAAUCAUUGCCAUGGCAGAUUAAUUAGUUACUCAGCAAUAAUCUUUUCAAGCACUUUGAAGAAGAGUGGAAGGAUGGCAAUGGGCCUGUAAUUUGUGGAUGGGUGGGACUGCUGCCAUCUUCCACAAUUGUGGGAAUUCUUUUGAUCAUAUUGAAAGGUUAAUAAAAUGGGGAAUGGGUUCUGCUCAAUGAUUCUGGAACUUUUUUAGUAUGGCACCAUUGAGAUUAUGGAUGUCCUUUGAUGUUGAGUGUGUGAGAUCAGCAACGAUGAAAGACCAAAGGAACAAAGGAGCAUUUCAGAUGAAAGAGCAAAGGUACAUUUAAGCUUGAACGUGGGCUCAAGUCAGGCAGUCUGUUUGUGGAGUGCCUGGCGUGAGUAGUAGUUGACAGCAGCUCUUGAAUGAAAAGUGUUGUGAAAAUGUGUCGAAGGACAGCAGAGUACGAGGAGGAACUUUGGGGACCGAAAGAAGAGAACGAGCCAGAACGUCAACAACUGGACACUGUUUUCAUUCUGAUUUGGUUGAAAAAGUGUGGGCACGAUUUUUGGAGGUUUAUAAAACAAGGGGGGCCUCCCCAUUGAACUGGGAAGUCAUCCCCAUUCAGUUCACACAGAUGAUGUGACACACAACAUGUUAAGACCAUAGACUUCACUUUCCUCAGGUGGCAGUCAUUGUGUUUUAACAGGCAUCUCCACCUGCCCUUCAGUCUUCCAAAUGCAUGCUCAGCUAUUCUUCUGGCUCUGCUUGAUUUGUUAUUGUACAUGAACUGGUGGGUGGCCAGGCUGCAAUUGUCAGUCAAAGGUUUAGGCAGCCAUCUGAGAGGAGAGAUCAUCAAGUGUCCUCGGAUACGCCAAAAUUGUUCAUCCACUGCGUCGGAAAUACUGCUUCCCACAUUCCGAUGCUCUAAUGUGCUUCCAGACGCUGCGGGGCACAUGAGCCGAUCGGUAGGAAGCGCAUCUCGAAAACAGAAAACGCUGGCAGAAUAAGAUCAGCUCCUCCACAGUUACUCUACAUAUGUUUUGUGUAACUACCAGUAUUGGGUAGAUAGAUCAGUACUAAGUGCGUAUUGAAAACACAAAAUGGUAAAGAAAAAUUAAACUGUCAAUAUUUUGUCAAUCAAAACUAUUCAAAGAAUAUAAAUUGAAAUUAACAAAAACAAAGCAAAAUAAAAACAUCUGUGCAAUGUGAGAUAGUUAAAUAUUUACAUAAUGCGUGACAUUCCAGCGGCACGGUCAACGACUGGUAAGCACAUCUGCCUCACAGUUCUGAGGACCUGGAUACGAAUCCAGCCUCGUCUGUGCAGCGUUUGCAGGUUCUCCCUGUGCCUGCAUAGGUUUUCUCUGGGUACUUCUUUCCUCCAACAUUACAAAAACAUGCAUGGUAGGUUAAUUGAAGACUCUAAACUGCCCGUAGGUGUCAAUGUGAGUGUGAAUGGUUGUUUGUUUAUAUGUGCCCUGCGAUAGGAUGGCGACCAGUUCAAGGUGUACCCAGCCUCUCGCCUAGAAUCAGCUGGGAGAGGCUCCAACUCGCCCGCGACCAUAGUGAGGAUAAGCGGAAGGGAAAACGGAUGGAUGGAUGACAUUCCAUCAUAGUAUAUGCUGAAUAAAAUGUUCAUGGCAGGUUAAAAAACAGGGGCAGCGAUCAUGUACUGCAUACGAUGAGAUUGUUUUUUAAAAUAUUUUUUACUGUAUUUAUUUUGUAUUUACUUAUACACACAAUUACAGCCACAUCGUUACAGCAACACACACACACACACACACGCACACACACACAGGCACACACAUGCACACACACACGCACAGACAACAGCCUUCUGAUUUCUGCCAUGGAAGUUCAGUUGAGUGGAUAAAUAGUCUCAAUUAAAGAGAUGCUACAAUACAAUAAAUAUCAUGCACACAGUAGACUGUAUUUUAACAUGAAAAUAUCUAGAAAUGAAAUUUUUGCCACAUACUGUAACAGUCACAGUUUACAAUAGGCACUUCUUUCCAUGCGUAACCAAGGAUAGGCACCGACAAAAAAAAUCCAGAUAUAGAUGAAUUUGCAAAUGCCAAACCGCGAGGAUGCAGAGUCCACUGUCUUAUUAUUAUUGACACUUGUUUCAUGCAUGUUAUUAUUUUACAAUUGUUCACAUUUUAUUAUUGUUGUUGACCUGCCUAUUUUUAUUAUUUCCAAUAAACCUUAACUCAUCCGACUCUCCUAAUAAUCUUGAGUAUGAUUGUAAACCACAAUACAUAACAUUUGAGAAUUGACUUGACCAAUCCAUGUGUACUUGUGUCUUGCAGACAUUGCUGAAGAGCUUCGUCCUGAGGGGCAGGAGCUCGAGCCCCCUCACAUUAAAGAGGAGCUGGAGGAUGAUGUGGUCCAUCGCAUCAAAGAGGAAGAGAAAUUGGAGCCCACUCCCAUUAAAAAAGAGGAUGCGGAAGAGCACCCCUACAUCAAACAUGAAGUGGAGGAGGACAUCACCAAAUUUACAUCUACUGGUAUCCCUUUGAAGAGUAAAGAUGAAGGUCAAAGUGAGGAGAACAGAGGGCCGGAGCGGAGCCUCCAAGCAGCAGCUCAAGUCAACACAUGACAACAGAAAGUGAUGGAGACCACUGUGGAGGAUCACAACCAGACGGACUCUUAGCUCCACUGUCAGAUUGUGCUGAUACGACAUCACACCCUCCUCACACUGAUGAUGAUGAUGGACAGUGUGAAGGUGAUAUAACAUGUCACAUUGAAAACAAACGAUGGAAAUGUUCUCAGUGUGGGAAAAUAUUAGCUUUUCAGAGGAAUUUGAAAUGACACAUGAAAAUACACAAAGGAGAGAAAGAUUUUGCCUGCUCAGUGUGUGGUGAAAGAUUCUCUGAAAAGGGAAAAUUAAAAAUACACACAAGAA